GCGCCGGUGGUGUAAAGACCGGUGGUGUAGAGCAUUCCCGCCCGGUCAGAGGGAGGUGCGGGUUCGACUCCCGCCUGGCGCU
rnacentral:tRNA from 1 species